GGUCAUGAGUGCCAGCAUCAAGCCCCGGCUCGCUGGCCGGCAACCCUCCAACCGCGGUGGGGUGCCCCGGGUGAGGACCUGGCUGUCCGGCAAAAGGCCGGAUGGCAAGCGCGGCCC
rnacentral:ncRNA from 2 species